rnacentral:rRNA from 1 species
GAUGAACGCUGGCGGCGUGCCUAAUACAUGCAAGUCGAGCGAACGGACGAGAAGUUUGCUUCUCUGAUGUUAGCGGCGGACGGGUGAGUAACGCGUGGAUAACCUACCUAUAAGACUGGGAUAACUUCGGGAAACCGGAGCUAAUACCGGAUAAUAUUUUGAACCGCAUGGUUCAAAAGUGAAAGACGGUCUUGCUGUCACUUAUAGAUGGAUCCGCGCUGCAUUAGCUAGUUGGUAAGGUAACGGCUUACCAAGGCAACGAUGCAUAGCCGACCUCAGAGGGUGAUCCGCCACACUGGAACUGAGACACGGUCCAGACUCCUACGGGAGGCAGCAGUAGGGAAUCUUCCGCAAUGGGCGAAAGCCUGACGGAGCAACGCCGCGUGAGUGAUGAAGGUCUUCGGAUCGUAAAACUCUGUUAUUAGGGAAGAACAUAUGUGUAAGUAACUGUGCACAUCUUGACGGUACCUAAUCAGAAAGCCACGGCUAACUACGUG